rnacentral:lncRNA from 1 species
AGCCCCCACCACCCCCCCGUCACCCUCCAUACCCGCAGUCCCUCCUCCUAAUGGCCCCCGGAAGACACGGCGUCAAGCCACCCCACACUGCCCUUCUCCCUUACCCCUUCUCCUGCCCCAACGUCGCCGUCGUCGUCGUCGCCAACUAGAAGCCGGAUCUAUCGGUGAUGGCAACUCUACUAGUCCUCAAUCAUCCCAGACCCAGUUUAGUUCGAACCCAACGCCCCUUCCUUCCUGCUAUCGGGUCUCCCACCGUCCAUCGCGAGCUUCCGCACACAGAGGAAGAGCCUGAGAGAGAGAG